GAUGAAGAACGUAGCGAAUUGCGAUAUGUAAUGUGAAUUGCAGAAUUCAGUGAAUCAUCGAAUCUUUGAACGCACAUUGCGCCCGCCAGCACUCUGGCGGGCAUGCCUGUUCGAGCGUCAUUUCAACCAUCAAGCCCCCAGGGGCUUGUGCUGGGGCCCUGCGGCUGCCCGCAGGCCCUGAAAACCAGUGGCGGGCUCGCUAGUCACACCGAGCGCAGUAGCACAUCUCGCUCAGGGCGUGCGGCGGGCUCCUGCCGUGAAACCCCCCACUGUAACCCCAAAGGUUGACCUCGGAUCAGGUAGGAAUACCCGCUGAACUUAAGCAUAUCAAUAAGCGGAGGA
rnacentral:misc_RNA from 1 species